CAGGUGGGGCGUGACGGUCGCGACCGGUUUCGUACCGGUCGAGGAAAGUCCGAGCUCCGUAGGGCAUGCCGCCAGGUAACUCCUGGGCGCCGAGAGGCGACGGUAAGGACCACAGAAAAAAUACCGCCCGGAUUCGUUGGGUAAGGGUGAAAAGGUGGGGUAAGAGCCCACCGCGCGACCGGCAACGGGACGCGGCACGGUAACCUCCGGUUGGAGCAAGGCCAAAUAGGCGGCGAGGCCCGGCCCGGGCCGCUUGAGCCGCGGGUAGACCGCUUGAGACGUCGAGUGAUCGGCGCCCCAGAUAGAUGACCGUCCGUCCGGCUUCGAACGGAUGAACAGAACUCGGCUUACGGCCCCACCGUACCU
rnacentral:RNase_P_RNA from 1 species